rnacentral:tRNA from 1 species
CGCGGGAUAGAGCAGUUUGGUAGCUCGUCGGGCUCAUAACCCGAAGGUCAUAGGUUCAAAUCCUAUUCCCGCAACCA